UCCUGGUUAGCUAGUUGGUAGAGCGCUCCACUGGAAAUGGAGGGGACCCUGGUUCGAUACCUGGACAAGGUG
rnacentral:tRNA from 1 species